GAAAUGAAAACUUGGACAGAGUUAUUGGCAAUUUCUUAAUCCUGUUUGCCACCCCUUUGUGAUUCGCCUCUGAAAGCGGAAGACAUGGACAAUAUGGCGACUUCAAAAGGGCGGAUAUGCGAUUGUUGUAAGAAUUUUCCAAUAUCUUCUAAUAAUGGCUGAAGUGUACACUGUUCACUACCUUUUAAAACUGCAGAAAAUACUUUUAAAUGACCUACGGAUGGAGUGUCUUCAAGAGUAGGGAUUAUCAAAUGACAAUAGAUUUUCGGAUGUACAAAAUAUCCUAAAUAUUCUGCAGCUCUUUCUACAUUUUCUACAACUCUGUUGUCUUCAUCAUUACAAGCUCUAAUAAAUAAUUAUUGGUCAACAGUAUGAUUAGUUAAAGAUUAAUUUGAUAAUGUAUAUUUUAAUACUAAUACAUUUACCGAUACAUAGGAGGCAAGAGUUUUCCAAUAUGCUGUAUUAUAUCUUCUUCUAUGUUUAAAAUAAAUACACAAAGUAAUUGUGCA